rnacentral:rRNA from 2 species
UACAUGCAAGUCGAGCGGACAGAUGGGAGCUUGCUCCCUGAUGUUAGCGGCGGACGGGUGAGUAACACGUGGGUAACCUGCCUGUAAGACUGGGAUAACUCCGGGAAACCGGGGCUAAUACCGGAUGGUUGUUUGAACCGCAUGGUUCAAACAUAAAAGGUGGCUUCGGCUACCACUUACAGAUGGACCCGCGGCGCAUUAGCUAGUUGGUGAGGUAACGGCUCACCAAGGCAACGAUGCGUAGCCGACCUGAGAGGGUGAUCGGCCACACUGGGACUGAGACACGGCCCAGACUCCUACGGGAGGCAGCAGUAGGGAAUCUUCCGCAAUGGACGAAAGUCUGACGGAGCAACGCCGCGUGAGUGAUGAAGGUUUUCGGAUCGUAAAGCUCUGUUGUUAGGGAAGAACAAGUACCGUUCGAAUAGGGCGGUACCUUGACGGUACCUAACCAGAAAGCCACGGCUAACUACGUGCCAGCAGCCGCGGUAAUACGUAGGUGGCAAGCGUUGUCCGGAAUUAUUGGGCGUAAAGGGCUCGCAGGCGGUUUCUUAAGUCUGAUGUGAAAGCCCCCGGCUCAACCGGGGAGGGUCAUUGGAAACUGGGGAACUUGAGUGCAGAAGAGGAGAGUGGAAUUCCACGUGUAGCGGUGAAAUGCGUAGAGAUGUGGAGGAACACCA